rnacentral:rRNA from 9 species
CGGCGACUUAUAGUUAGUGGCAGGUUAAGGCAGUGAAUGCUGUAGCCAUAGUGAAAGCGAGCCUGAAUAGGGCGUUUGUCUCUAAUUAUAGACCCGAACCCGGAUGAUCUAACCAUGGUCAGGUUGAAGCUUAGGUAAUACUAAGUGGAGGACCGAACCGACUGAUGUUGAAAAAUCAGCGGAUGAACUGUGGUUAGGGGUGAAAUGCCAAUCGAAUUCGGAGCUAGCUGGUUCUCCCCGAAAUGCGUUUUGGCGCAGCGGUAAAUGUUAUAAUUUAGGGGUAAAGCACUGUUACGUAUGCGGGCUGGUAAUUCGGUACCAAAUCGUUGCAAACUAAGAAUACUAAAUGUAUAGUUUACCAGUGAGACUGUGGGGGAUAAGCUCCAUUGUCAAGAGGGAAACAGCCCAGAGCACCAGUUAAGGCCCCAAAAUAAUUGCUAAGUGAUAAAGGAGGUGGGAGUGCAUAAACAAUCAGGAGGUUUGCUUAGAAGCAGCAAUCCUUUAAAGAGUGCGUAAUAGCUCACUGGUCGAGGGUUUCGGCGCCGAUAAUGAUCGGGAAUAAGCAAUGUACCGAAGCUGCGGGCUGCGUAAGCAGCGGUAGGAGAGCGUUCCUGUCAGCAGAGAAGGCGUCCCGAAAGGGUCGCUGGAGCGUCAGGAAGUGAAUAUGCCGGGUUGAGUAACGAUAAAGCAGGUGAAAAUCCUGCUCGCCGAAAAUCUAAGGUUUCCUGGGGAAGGUAAAUCCGCCCAGGGUCAGCCGGGACCUAAGGUGAGGCCGAAAGGCGUAGCCGAUGGACGGCAGGUUAAUAUUCCUGCGCUACUGUGGAGAUCAAUCAUGAGUGCGGAUCGGUCAGCCCUGCGUAAGCACCAGCUUGCUGAGGCCCUUGAGGCCGCUGCAGGGGGCUCUGGUCCCGAGAAAAGCUCAUGUGGCAAAGCAGUACCCGUACCAAAACCGACACAGGUAGAUGAGGUGAAUAACCUAAGGCGCUCGAGAUAACGGAAGUGAAGGAAUUAGGCAAAUUGACCCCGUAAGUUCGCGAUAAGGGGGCCCUACCCCUCGGGGAGGGCGCAGAGAAAAGGCUCUGGCGACUGUUUAUCAAAAACACAGCACUGUGCUAACUCGCAAGAGGACGUAUACAGUGUGACGCCUGCCCAAUGCCGGAAUGUCACGGAAGCGGGUUAGCUUCGGCGAAGCUCGUAACCUAAGCACCGGUCAAUGGCGGCCGUAACUAUGACGGUCCUAAGGUAGCGAAGUUCCUUGUCGGGUAAGUUCCGACGCGCAUGAAUGGCGUAACGACUGGAGCACUGUCUCCACUUCCGACUCGGUGAAAUAGUAGUGGCGGUGAAGAUGCCGCCUACCCGCGACAAGACGGAAAGACCCCAUGAACCUUUACUAUAGGCUUUUAUUGCACAUGAGUUUGUAUUGCGUAGGAUAGGUGGGAGGCUUUGAAGCGGCCGUUCUGGCGGUCGUGGAGCCAUCCUUGAAAUACCACCCUUUACCUAUUCGUGUGCUAACCCCGAUUCCCGUGAAGCCGGGCGGGGGACAGUGAGUGCUGGGUAGUUUGACUGGGGCGGUCUCCUCCGAAAGAGUAACGGAGGAGCGCAAAGGUUGGUUCAGCGCGGAUGGAAACCGCGUGUUGAGUGUAAGAGCACAAGCCAGCUUUACUGCGAGAGCGACGGCUCGAGCAGUCUCGAAAGAGGGCUCUAGUGAUCCUGCGAUCCCGUGUGGAAGGGUCGUAGCUCAUCGGAUAAAAGGUACUCUGGGGAUAACAGGCUGAUCGCUCCCGAGCGUCCAUAGCGGCGGAGCGGUUUGGCACCUCGAUGUCGGCUCGUCACAUCCUGGGGCUGGGGGAG